rnacentral:lncRNA from 10 species
AGGAAACCUGGGGUCUUGGGACAAAAGGACAAUCCAGGAAAAAAAACCUCAGCAAUGUCCUAAUCACAUGAUGCUAACAUGGGAGGGAGCUUACAAAGUUCUUUCACAUCCAUUCCUCGGUUCUUAUAACAGCCUCAUGAGUGGGCAGGGCAGGGUUUAUAAUUCUCUUUUUACAAGUGAAGGAACUCAGGCUCAGAGCUGGCAGGACUUGUCUCCAAGUUCUCAGGGGAGUCUGGAUUAGAACCCAGGGCUCUGGAUUGGCCCAAGCCACCCCAGGAACUAGACUAGAGGCUACCACUGUUUGGCCCACACCCCUUUACCACUGCCACACCCAGGAAAAACAAGGUCCCGUAGAACAGCCGUGUAGCACCAUUCAGAACUGCCCUCUGCCCCGUGCCAAGCAGAAAAAGUGUGAGGUCUGCGAGUCAUCCUGCUACAGCCGGAGACUCAGCCUGAACCAGUCAGCGUGAAUGUGAGACCCUGCGAACAUGGAGGCCGGUAAAGAGGGGGAAUUUCAUGCGGAGAAGAGCAGCCUGUUCACUUCUAAGAAUAUCUGCAGCCUGGAACUGGCAGAGGCUGCUGGGCCCCCGCAAGAUUGCUAGAAUUCACCCUGAGGGAAGUGCCCUGGUGUGCAGACCCACAAGCAGCACCAGAUUCCAUGCUGCACGAGGGCAGGGCUGCAUCUCCGGCUCACCACUCAACCUCAGCACCAAGCACAGGCCUGGGAACAUAAUAGCUGCUCAAUAAAUAGAUGCUUUAUAUUUCCUGGAAAUGCC